CCUUGUUGAUUUCUUCUACCACUCCGAGUUUCCCAAAUUUCUUUCUGAGAUUCUCCAUUUGAGUUUUCAAGCCAUGUCUUAUAGUUUCUCUUCUCACCUUUCGGAACCUAAUCAUUUCAUUUCCAUCAAUUUUCAAACUUCUAGGGUUGGUUUGUUGCAGGAUGGGGGAAAAUACUUUGUGUUCCGGUUUGUUCGUAUUGGGCAGGAUAAUGGUGGGAUUGGUAGAUAAUCAGAAACGUCAGGGUGCAAACCGGAUGUACAAUCAGAAAUGGGUUGUACCUUGUUACAAAAGAUGCUUGUCUGCACCAGCUGUUAUUAGCAAGCCAUGUCCAAGUUCAACCGUUUAUGUUGUGAAGUUUGUGGUCCCAACUAACAGCUGAUGAAGCUUGUAAGAAGAAAACAAGUUAAACAACUUUAAUUCACCAAAUUUCAUCACUCCAGGCGAUCAUUUCUUUGAUGCUUUUCCACAUAUUUAUGAUACAGUGAAAGGGAAUCAUCAGGAUGAUGAGGAUGCACUGUUGGAGAGGAGAAAACUCCAGUGUCAUGCUUCAGUCAUCAAGGGUGAAUCUAGUUUCUUUGUUAGUGAGACUCCAACUAUGAUAUUGGGAAUGGAUGUUUCUCAUGGGUCACCAGGUCAAUCAGAUAUCACAUCAGUUGAUGCUGUUGUUGGUUCUACAUCUUGGUCCUUGCCCUCAAGGUACAAGGCAUUUGUAUGUACCCAAUCCCCUCAAGUGGAGUUGAUCGGCUGCUUGUAUAAAGUAUUACCAAAUGGGGAGGAUGACGGAAUUAUGAGGAAUGGAGUGAGUGAGUCUCAAUUCAACCAAGUAUUGAACGUCAAGUUGGAGCAGAUCAUUAAGGUUGUUGGUUCUGGAUGUUGGCCCUUAAUUUUAAGCCACAGAGCUUCUGUACGUUCCCAAUCCCCGGUGGAGAUGAGUGGCUCCUUGUACAAAGUAUUGCCAAAUGGAAUUAAUUAUGACGUGGGAGCUUUUGAUGGUUUUCUACCAGACAAGUAAUGGGAGAAAGCCAAACCAAAUUAUCAUUUUUAGGGAUGGAGUGAGUAAGUCUCGAUUCAAACAAGUAUCGAACGUUGAGUUGGAGCAGAUCAUUAAGGCAAUAACUCACUUGGGAGAAAUAAAGCUUCAGUUCAUGCUAAUUGUCGCGCAAAAAGCUGGUGGCUGCACCGAGAAUGUUACACCAGGUUUCACUUUGUUCUCCUUUAAACUCUGUGCAUCUCUGUACAGUCUGCGGUUUUCCCUGUUUAAGAAUAUUAGCUUUCCAAAUUCCAUUCUUUA